CAGCCGCCGCGGUAAUGCGUAGGUCCCGAGCGUUGUCCGGAUUUAUUGGGCGUAAAGCGGGCGCAGGCGGUUAGAUAAGUCUGAAGUUAAAGGCCGUGGCUUAACCAUAGUACGCUUUGGAAACUGUUUAACUUGAGUGCAGAAGGGGAGAGUGGAAUUCCAUGUGUAGCGGUGAAAUGCGUAGAUAUAUGGAGGAACACCGGUGGCGAAAGCGGCUCUCUGGUCUGUAACUGACGCUGAGGCUCGAAAGCGUGGGGAGCGAACAGGAUUAGAUACCCCUGUAGUCCCUGUCUCUUAUACC
rnacentral:rRNA from 1 species